rnacentral:rRNA from 1 species
UACGGAGGGUGCAAGCGUUAUCCGGCUUUACUGGGUUUAAAGGGUGCGUAGGUGGAUUAGUAAGUCAGUGGUGAAAUCUCCGGGCUUAACCCGGCAACUGCCAUUGAUACUAUUAGUCUUGAAUAUCCUGGAGGUGAGCGGAAUAUGUCAUGUAGCGGUGAAAUGCUGAGAUAUGACAUAGAACAACAAUUGCGAAGGCAGCUCACUACGGGAUUAUUGACACUGAGGCACGAAAGCGUGGGGAGCAAACAGG